rnacentral:rRNA from 1 species
AUUGAACGCUGGCGGCAGGCCUAACACAUGCCAGUCGAGCGGAUGAAGGGAGCUUGCUCCUGGAUUCAGCGGCGGACGGGUGAGUAAUUCCUAGGAAUCUGCCUGGUAGUGGGGUAUAACGUCCGGAAACGGGCGCUAAUACCGCAUACGUCCUGAUGGAGAAAGUUGGGGAUCUUCGGACCUCACGCUAUCAGAUGAGCCUAGGUCGGAUUAGCUAGUUGGUGGGGUAAAGGCCUACCAAGGCGACGAUCCGUAACUGGUCUGAGAGGAUGAUCAGUAAAACUGGAACUGAGACACGGUCCAGACUACUACGGGAGGAAGCAGUGGGGAAUAUUGGACAAUGGGCGAAAGCAUGAUACAGCCAUGCCGCGUGUGUGAAGAAGGUCUUCGGAUUGUAAAGAACUUUAAGUUGGGAGGAAGGGCAGUAAGUUAAUACCUUGCUGUAUUGACGUUACCAACAGAAUAAGCACCGGCUAACUUCGUG